UCCAGACUCCUACGGGAGGCAGCAGUGGGGGAUAUUGCACAAUGGAGGGAACUCUGAUGCAGCGACGCCGCGUGAGGGAAGAAGGUUUUCGGAUUGUAAACCUCUGUCUUCGGUGACGAAACGAGACGGUAGCCGAGGAGGAAGCCACGGCUAACUACGUGCCAGCAGCCGCGGUAAUACGGAGGGUGCGAGCGUUAAUCGGAAUUACUGGGCGUAAAGCGCUCGUAGGCGGUAUGUCAAGUCAAGGGUGAAAUCCCCGCGCUCAACGUGGGAACUGCCUUUGAAACUGGCAAACUGGAGUGUGUGAGAGGACAGUGGAAUUCCAGGUGUAGGAGUGAAAUCCGUAGAUAUCUGGAGGAACAUCAGUGGCGAAGGCGACUAUCUGGCACAUAACUGACGCUGAGGAGCGAAAGCGUGGGUAGCAAACAGGAUUAGAUACCCCGGUAA
rnacentral:rRNA from 1 species